UACGUAGGGUGCAAGCGUUGUCCGGAAUCAUUGGGCGUAAAGCGCGUGUAGGCGGCCUUGUAAGUCCGUUCUGAAAGCCCGGGGCUCAACCCCGGGAGGCGGAUGGAUACUGCAGGGCUCGAGUACGGAAGAGGCGAGUGGAAUUCCCGGUGUAGCGGUGAAAUGCGCAGAUAUCGGGAGGAACACCAAUGGCGAAGGCAGCUCGCUGGGACGUUACUGACGCUGAGACGCGAAAGCGUGGGGAGCAAACAGG
rnacentral:rRNA from 1 species